CGUGGGUAACCUGCCUCAUACAGGGGGAUAACAGUUAGAAAUGACUGCUAAUACCGCAUAAGACCACGGAGCCGCAUGGCUCAGUGGGAAAAACUCCGGUGGUAUGAGAUGGACCCGCGUCUGAUUAGGUAGUUGGUGGGGUAACGGCCUACCAAGCCAACGAUCAGUAGCCGACCUGAGAGGGUGACCGGCCACAUUGGGACUGAGACACGGCCCAAACUCCUACGGGAGGCAGCAGUGGGGAAUAUUGCACAAUGGGGGAAACCCUGAUGCAGCGACGCCGCGUGAGCGAAGAAGUAUUUCGGUAUGUAAAGCUCUAUCAGCAGGGAAGAAAAUGACGGUACCUGACUAAGAAGCACCGGCUAAAUACGUGCCAGCAGCCGCGGUAAUACGUAUGGUGCAAGCGUUAUCCGGAUUUACUGGGUGUAAAGGGAGCGUAGACGGCUGUGUAAGUCUGAAGUGAAAGCCCGGGGCUCAACCCCGGGACUGCUUUGGAAACUAUGCAGCUAGAGUGUCGGAGAGGUAAGUGGAAUUCCCAGUGUAGCGGUGAAAUGCGUAGAUAUUGGGAGGAACACCAGUGGCGAAGGCGGCUUACUGGACGAUGACUGACGUUGAGGCUCGAAAGCGUGGGGAGCAAACAGGAUUAGAUACCCUGGUAGUCCACGCCGUAAACGAUGACUCUAGGUGUCGGGGAGCAAA
rnacentral:rRNA from 1 species